AAGAAAAAAUAAAAAUUUUGAAAAUAUAGUAAAUGUAAAAUGACUAAAUUGCUCAUGUAUUAAAAGACAAGAAUAUUCUUUUUUGAGGUACCUGGUAAUCGGUACCUCUCCCAAAGUGACAUGCUAUUGCAGGUCACAAUUUUAAAAAAAUUAAAUCUGAGCCGUUGAAUACACGUGAAUGAACAGUAACGAAAAAAAAAAAGAGUAUAGAAGCAUUACUCUUAAACAUUUAUGAUGUUAUUGCUGAAAUAGUUGGUACAUCAGUGGUUGACCCACUAUUUGAGCUAGUGAAUUCUGACUCAAUAAUAUU
rnacentral:lncRNA from 1 species